UGGCGAAGGCGGCCCCCUGGACGAAGACUGACGCUCAGGUGCGAAAGCGUGGGGAGCAAACAGGAUUAGAUACCCUGGUAGUCCACGCCGUAAACGAUGUCGACUUGGAGGUUGUGCCCUUGAGGCGUGGCUUCCGGAGCUAACGCGUUAAGUCGACCGCCUGGGGAGUACGGCCGCAAGGUUAAAACUCAAAUGAAUUGACGGGGGCCCGCACAAGCGGUGGAGCAUGUGGUUUAAUUCGAUGCAACGCGAAGAACCUUACCUGGUCUUGACAUCCACGGAAGUUUUCAGAGAUGAGAAUGUGCCUUCGGGAACCGUGAGACAGGUGCUGCAUGGCUGUCGUCAGCUCGUGUUGUGAAAUGUUGGGUUAAGUCCCGCAACGAGCGCAACCCUUAUCCUUUGUUGCCAGCGGUCCGGCCGGGAACUCAAAGGAGACUGCCAGUGAUAAACUGGAGGAAGGUGGGGAUGACGUCAAGUCAUCAUGGCCCUUACGACCAGGGCUACACACGUGCUACAAUGGCGCAUACAAAGAGAAGCGACCUCGCGAGAGCAAGCGGACCUCAUAAAGUGCGUCGUAGUCCGGAUUGGAGUCUGCAACUCGACUCCAUGAAGUCGGAAUCGCUAGUAAUCGUGGAUCAGAAUGCCACGGUGAAUACGUUCCCGGGCCUUGUACACACCGCCCGUCACACCAUGGGAGUGGGUUGCAAAAGAAGUAGGUAGCUUAACCUUCGGGAGGGCGCUUACCACUUUGUGAUUCAUGACUGGGGUGAAGUCGUAACAAGGUAACCGUAGGGGAACCUGCGGUUGGAUCACCUCCUUACCUUAAAGAAGC
rnacentral:rRNA from 1 species